rnacentral:rRNA from 1 species
GAUGAACGCUGGCGGCGUGCCAAUACAUGCAAGUCGAGCGCACGGACGAGAAGCUUGCUUCUCUGAUGUUAGCGGCGGACGGGUGAGUAACACGUGGAUAACCUACCUAUAAGACUGGGAUAACUUCGGGAAACCGUAGCUAAUACCGGAUAAUAUUUUGAACCGCAUGGUUCAAAAGUGAAAGACGGUCUUGCUGUCACUUAUAGAUGGAUCCGCGCUGCAUUAGCUAGUUGGUAAGGUAACGGCUUACCAAGGCAACGAUGCAUAGCCGACCUGAGAGGGUGAUCGGCCACACUGGAACUGAGACACGGUCCAGACUCCUACGGGAGGCAGCAGUAGGGAAUCUUCCGCAAUGGGCGAAAGCCUGACGGAGCAACGCCGCGUGAGUGAUGAAGGUCUUCGGAUCGUAAAACUCUGUUAUUAGGGAAGAACAUAUGUGUAAGUAACUGUGCACAUCUUGACGGUACCUAAUCAGAAAGCCACGGCUAACUACGUG